AAAAAAAAACACCUCGGAUCGCUCUGGAAGGAAAAAAAAAAAGGCACCGAAAGCGGUGACGAGGUCGCGACUGGCGGAAGCGGCGACAAGGUCAGAUCCCCCGACGGAAGCGGCGGCGACCCGGCGACCGUACGCCGACCACCUCGCUCUCAGACCCUCCUUCCUCAUCGAGUUCGACGAGAUCAGCGCCGGCCCCAUCCAGAUGGUCCAUCAGCUUAACUCAUUUGAGCUGCCGGGCAGCCGUGUGCAAUCACAAGGAUUUCUUCACAUGGAUGUUGAUCGUGCCCACGGCUGUGUGCAGUCAGAAGGACUUGGUGCUAUUGAUGACGAUCGUGCUCGCAGUCGUGGGCAAUCACAAGGACUUGGUGAUAUUGAUGACAAUCACGGGGCUGUUGAGUAUCCUCGUGAGAAUAUUAACUUAAUGAAGUAGAAUAUCAAUAUCAGAAGCACAUGAAUGGUAAUACAACUUGCAUAUCAUAUCUUCACUUUACAUAUACAUGUCAAGCUCUGCGUGAUACAUACUGGUUCCACAUUCCUUGUGCAAUAUGAUCUCGCAUUUGAUUUCCUACUUGUCUGGAAUAAUUAAAUGCAUGUAUAUCACCAUGAUAGUCGUGGUCUCCAUUUGGCACAUCAACAAUCUGGUUCGGGUCAAUCUCCAUGGGAGCAUCUUUGGGCCACUCCAUAUCUCCUUUGUGUAGGCGUAUGAAAUUGUGCAGAACACAACAAGCCACAGAUAUGUCAAUUUGUUUAUCAACUGAAUAAUGUGCAGCAACUUUCAGGAUAGGAAAUCUCAUUUUUAGUAUGCCGAUAAUUCUCUCUAUAUGAUUCCGAAGUUGAGCAUGACGAAGGUUGAACAAUUCCUUGUAAUUUUGUGGCCUUUGACGUGCUUCUCCUUGUUCUUUUAGAUGAUACCUAGUACCACGGUAUGGAGCAAGAAAUUGGGGUGUGUUUGCAUAACCAGCAUCAACAAGCAAGGGGAAGAUGAAAGCAUAGAGCACAGGCAGCAAGGGGAAGAUGAAAGAAUAGAGCACAGGCAGCAAAUGCUGUGGGCAGGGAAAAGAGCUAUCCGUUGUAGAGAGUAGCAUCAGGUUAUAUAGGCACUUGCUGCUAACGGCUACUUCAGGCAGUUGACUGCACUAGCCGUUGGAAGUUUGAAAAACAUCAGACUUACAAAUAGAAAUAAUAAUACUUUAUUGUAUAGGAUUCCUGUACGUCUCCUAUGAUGCAGCCAAAGGCACUUUGUUACCAGUUCCUCUGGAUUUGCAUUCCAUAGGAUUGGCUAUGUCAUGGCAGUCAAAUCCUCCAUUUUCCCUA